UAGGGAACGGCACAGCCGCAAAUCCGACUCGUUGCGUGUGUUCGCGGGCACCUGCCCGCUCUCUUUCGGGGCAUUUGCCCUCUUUGCGCAACUUGGGAUUGCGGACGUGC
rnacentral:ncRNA from 1 species